GCCGCGUCAAUCAUUUUCAUUUGC
rnacentral:rRNA from 1 species